rnacentral:rRNA from 1 species
AAGGGUUGCCAGAGGACGAGCCUGCGGCCAUCAGCUAGUUGGCGAGGUAACGGCUCACCAAGGCGAAGACGGGUAGCUGGUCUGAGAGGAUGAUCAGCCACACUGGAACUGAGACACGGUCCAGACUCCUACGGGAGGCAGCAGGUGGGGAAUAUUGCGCAAUGGGCGAAAGCCUGACGCAGCCACGCCGCGUGAGCGAUGAAGGCCGUUCGGGUACGUAAAGCUCUGUGGGGAGAGAAGAAUAAAGCCUGUGAAGAGCAGGCCUUGACGGUAUCUCCUUAGCAAGCACCGGCUAACUCCGUG